CAGCGAUAGAAGCGGCAUCCUUUUGCGUCGUUCCGUUCCGAAGGAUCGGGACGACGCAAAAGAUACAGCGGAUAGCGCGGCCGUUC
rnacentral:sRNA from 1 species